UUGUUGUUAGGGGUUUAAGGUUGUGUGUUGUUAGGAGGUUAGGGUUGUUUGUUGUUACGGGGUUACAUUAGUUUCUUGUUAGGGGUUUAGUGUUGUUUGUUGUUAGGGGGUUAGUGUUUGUUCUUAGGGGUUUAGGGUUGUUUCUUGUUGAGGUUUAGUAGUUUUUGUUGUUAGGGUGUUAGUGUUGUUUGUGGUUUGGGGGUUAGUGUUGUUGUUUGUUAGGGGGUUAGGGUUGUUUGUUGUUAGAAGGUUAGGGUUGUUUGUUGUUAGGGGGUUAGGAUUGUUUGUUGUUAGGGGUUUAGGGUUGUUUGUUGUUAGGGGUUUAGUGUUUGUUGUUAGGGGUUUAUUGUUGUUUCUUGUUGGGGGUAAUGUUUUUUGUUGUUAGGGUGUUAGUGUUCUUUGUGGUUAGGGGCUUAGAGUUGUUUGUUGUUAGGGGUUUAAGGUUGUUUGUUGUUAGGAGAUUAGGGUUGUUUGUUGUUACAGAGUUAGGUUAGUUUCUUGUUAGGGAUUUAGUGUUGUUUGUUGUUAGGGGGUUAGUGUUUUUUGUUAGGGGUUUAGUGUUGUUUCUUGUUGGGGUUUAGUGGUUUUUGUUGUUAGGGUGUUAGUGUUGUUUGUUGUUAGGGGUUUAGGUUUGUUUGUUGUUAGGGGUUUAAGGUUGUUUGUUGUUAGGAGGUUAGGGUUGUUUGUUGUUACGGGGUUAGGUUAGUUUCUUGUUAGGGGUUUAGUGUUGUUUGUUGUUAGGGGGUUAGUGUUUGUUGUUAGGGGUUUAGGGUUGUUUCUUGUUGGGGUUUAGUAGUUUUUGUUGUUAGGGUGUUAGUGUUGUUUGUGAUUAGGGGGUUAGUGUUGUUUGUUCUUACGGGGUUAGUGUUGAUUGUGGUUAGGGUGUUAGUGCUGUUUGCAGUUAGGGGGUCAGCGUUGUUGGUUGUUAGGGGGUUAGGAUUGUUUGUUGUUAGGGGUUUAAGGUUGUUUGUUGUUAGGGGGUUAAGGUUGUUUGUUGUUAGGAGGUUAGGAUUGUUUGUUCUUACAGGGUUAGGUAAGUUCCUUGUUAGGGGUUUAGUGUUGUUUGUUGGUAGGGGGUUAGUGUUUGUUGUUAGGGGUUUAGGGUUGUUUCUUGUUGGGGUUUAGUAGUUUUUGUUGUUAGGGUGUUAGUGUUGUUUGUUGUUAGGGGGUUAGUGUUGUUUGUUCUUACGGGGUUAGUGUUGUUUGUGGUUAGGGGGUGAGCGUUGUUGGUUGUUAGGGUGUUAGGAUUGUUUGUUGUUAGGGUUUUAAGGUUGUUUGUUGUUAGGGGGUAAAGGUUGUUUGUUGUUAGGAGGUUAGGGUUGUUUGUUGUUACAGGGUUAGGUUAGUUUCUUGUUAGGGUGUUAGUGUUGUUUGUUGUUAGGGGUUUAGUGUUUGUUGUUAGGGGUUUAGUGUUGUUUCUUGUUGGGUUUUAGUGGUUUUUGUUGUUAGGGUGUUAGUGUUGUUUGUUGUUAGGGGUUUAUGGUUGUUUGUUGAUAGGGGUUUAAGUUUGUUUGUUGUUAGGAGGUUAGGGUUGUUUGUUGUUACGGGGUUAGGUUAGUUUCUUUUUAGGGGUUUAGUGUUGUUUGUUGUUAGGGGGUUAGUGUUUGUUGUUAGGGGUUUAGGGUUGUUUCUUGUUGGGGUUUAGUAGUUUUUGUUGUUAGGGUGUUAGUGUUGUUUGUGGUUAGGGGCUUAGUGUUGUUUGUUCUUACGGGGUUAGUGUUGUUUGUGGUUAGGGUGUUAGUGUUGUUUGUGGUUAGGGGGUGUGCGUUGUUGGUUGUUAGGGGGUUAGGAUUGUUUGUUGUUAGGGGUUUAGGGUUGUUUGUUGUUAGGGGGUUAAGGUUGUUUGUUGUUAGGAGGUUAGGUUUGUUUGUUGUUACAGGGUUAGGUUAGUUUCUUGUUAGGGGUUUAGUGUUGUUUGUUGUUAGGGGUUAGUGUUUGUUGUUAGGGGUUUAGUGUUGUUUCUUGUUGGGGUUUACUGGUUUUUGUUGUUAGGGUGUUAAUGUUUGUUGUUAGGGGUUUAGGGUUGUUUGUUGUUAGGGGUUUAAGAUUGUUUGUUGUUAGGAGGUUAGGGUUGUUUGUUGUUACGGGGUUAGGUUAGUUUCUUGUUAGGGGUUUAGUGUUGUUUGUUGUUAUGGGGUUAGUGUUUGUUGUUAGGGGUUUAGGGUUGUUUCUUGUUGGGGUUUAGUAGUUUUUGUUGUUAGGGUGUUAGUGUUGUUUGUUGUUAGGGGGUUAGUGUUGUUUGUUCUUACGGGGUUAGUGUUGUUUGUGGUUAGGGUGUUAGGUUGUUUGUGGUUAGGGGGUGAGCUUUGUUGGUUGUUGGGGGUUAGGAUUGUUUGUUGUUAGGGGUUUAAGGUUGUGUGUUGUUAGGAGGUUAGGGUUGUUUGUUGUUACGGGGUUAUAAUUAGUUUCUUGUUAGGGGUUUAGUGUUGUUUGUUGUUAGGGGGUUAGUGUUUGUUGUUAGGUGUUUAGUGUUGUUUCUUGUUGGGGUUUAGUGGUUUUUGUUGUUAGGGUGUUAGUGUUGAUUGUUGUUAGGGGUUUAGGGUUGUUUGUUGUUGGGGGUUUAAGGUUGUUUGUUGUUAGGAGGUUAGGGUUGUUUGUUGUUACGGGGUUAGGUUAGUUUCUUGUUAGGGGUUUAGUGUUGUUUGUUGUUAGGGGGUUAGUGUUUGUUGUUAGGGGUUUAGGAUUGUUUCUUGUUGGGGUUUAGUAGUUUUUGUUGUUAGGGUGUUAGUGUUGUUUGUGGUUAGGGGCUUAGUGUUGUUUGUUCUUACGGGGUUAGUGUUGAUUGUGGUUAGGGUGUUAGUGCUGUUUGCAGUUAGGGGGUCAGCGUUGUUGGUUGUUAGGGGGUUAGGAUUGUUUGUUGUUAGGGGUUUAAGGUUGUUUGUUGUUAGGGGGUUAAGGUUGUUUGUUGUUAGGAGGUUAGGGUUGUUUGUUCUUACAGGGUUAGGUAAGUUCCUUGUUAGGGGUUUAGUGUUGUUUGUUGGUAGGGGGUUAGUGUUUGUUGUUAGGGGUUUAGGGUUGUUUCUUGUUGGGGUUUAGUAGUUUUUGUUGUUAGGGUGUUAGUGUUGUUUGUUGUUAGGGGGUUAGUGUUGUUUGUUCUUACGGGGUUAGUGUUGUUUGUGGUUAGGGGGUGAGCUUUGUUGGUUGUUAGGGUGUUAGGAUUGUUUGUUGUUAGGGUUUUAAGGUUGUUUGUUGUUAGGGGGUAAAGGUUGUUUGUUGUUAGGAGGUUAGGGUUGUUUGUUGUUACAGGGUUAGGUUAGUUUCUUGUUAGGGGUUUAGUGUUGUUUGUUGUUAGGGGUUUAGUGUUUGUUGUUAGGGGUUUAGUGUUGUUUCUUGUUGGGUUUUAGUGGUUUUUGUUGUUAGGGUGUUAGUGUUGUUUGUUGUUAGGGGUUUAUGGUUGUUUGUUGAUAGGGGUUUAAGGUUGUUUGUUGUUAGGAGGAUAGGGUUUUUUGUUGUUACGGGGUUAGGUUAGUUUCUUUUUAGGGGUUUAGUGUUGUUUGUUGUUAGGGGGUUAGUGUUUGUUGUUAGGGAUUUAGGGUUGUUUCUUGUUGGGGUUUAGUAGUUUUUGUUGUUAGGGUGUUAGUGUUGUUUGUGGAUAGGGGCUUAGUGUUGUUUGUUCUUACGGGGUUAGUGUUGUGUGUGGUUAGGGUGUUAGUGUUGUUUGUGGUUAGGGGGUGUGCGUUGUUUUUUGUUAGGGGGUUAGGAUUGUUUGUUGUUAGGGGUUUAGGGUUGUUUGUUGUUAGGGGGUUAAGGUUGUUUGUUGUUAGGAGGUUAGGUUUGUUUUUUGUUACAGGGUUAGGUUAGUUUCUUGUUAGGGGUUUAGUGUUGUUUGUUGUUAGGGGUUAGUGUUUGUUGUUAGGGGUUUAGUGUUGUUUCUUGUUGGGGUUUACUGGUUUUUGUUGUUAGGGUGUUAAUUUUUGUUGUUAGGGGUUUAGGGUUGUUUGUUGUUAGGGGUUUAAGGUUGUUUGUUGUUAGGAGGUUAGGGUUGUUUGUUGUUACGGGGUUAGGUUAGUUUCUUGUUAGGGGUUUAGUGUUGUUUGUUGUUAGGGGGUUAGUGUUUGUUGUUAGGGGUUUAGGGUUGUUUCUUGUUGGGGUUUAGUAGUUUUUGUUGUUAGGGUGUUAGUGUUGUUUUUGGUUAGGGGGUUAGGGUUGUUUGUUGUUAAGGGGUUACAUUAGUUUCUUGUUAGGGGUUUAGUGUUGUUUGUUGUUAGGGGGUUAGUGUUUGUUCUUAGGGGUUUAGGGUUGUUUCUUGUUGAGGUUUAGUAGUUUUUGUUGUUAGGGUGUUAGUGUUGUUUGUGGUUUGGGGGUUAGUGUUGUUGUUUGUUAGGGGGUUAGGGUUGUUUGUUGUUAGAAGGUUAGGGUUGUUUGUUGUUAGGGGUUUAGGGUUGUUUGUUGUUAGGGGGUUAGGAUUGUUUGUUGUUAGGGGUUUAGGGUUGUUUGUUGUUAGGGGUUUAGUGUUUGUUGUUAGGGGUUUAUUGUUGUUUCUUGUUGGGGGUAAUGUUUUUUGUUGUUAGGGUGUUAGUGUUCUUUGUGGUUAGGGGCUUAGGGUUGUUUGUUGUUAGGGGUUUAAGGUUGUUUGUUGUUAGGAGAUUAGGGUUGUUUGUUGUUACAGAGUUAGGUUAGUUUCUUGUUAGGCGUUUAGUGUUGUUUGUUGUUAGGGGGUUAGUGUUUGUUGUUAGGGGUUUAGUGUUGUUUCUUGUUGGGGUUUAGUGGUUUUUGUUGUUAGGGUGUUAGUGGUGUUUGUUGUUAGGGGUUUAGUGUUGUUUGUUGUUAGGGGUUUAAGGUUGUUUGUUGUUAGGAGGUUAGGAUUGUUUGUUGUUACGGGUUUAGGUUAGUUUCUUGUUAGGGGUUUAGUGUUGUUUGUUGUUAGGGGGUUAGUGUUUGUUGUUAGGGGUUUAGGGUUGUUUCUUGUUGGGGUUUAGUGGUUUUUGUUGUUAGGGUGUUAGUGUUGUUUGUUGUUAGAGGUUUAAGGUUGUUUGUUGUUAGGAGGUUAGGGUUGUUUGUUGUUACGGGGUUAGGUAAGUUUCUUGUUAGGGGUUUAGUGUUGUUUGUUGUUAGGGGGUUAGUGUUUGUUGUUAGGGGUUUAGGGUUGUUUCUUGUUGGGUUUAGUAGUUUUUGAUGUUAGGGUGUUAGUGUUGUUUGUUGUUAGUGGGUUAGUGUAGUUUGUUCUUACGGGGUUAGUGUUGUUUGUGGUUAGGGUGUUAGUGUUGUUUGUGGUCAGGGGGUGUGCGUUGUUGGUUGUUAGGGGGUUAGGUUAGUUUCUUGUUAGGGGUUUAGUGUUGUUUGCUGUUAGGGGGUUAGUGUUUGUUGUUAGGGGUUUAGGGUUGUUUCUUGUUGGGGUUUAGUAGUUUUUGUUGUUAGGGUGUUAGUGUUGUUUGUGGUUAGGGUGUUAGUGUUGUUUGUGAUUAGGGGGUUAGUGUUGUUUUUUGUUAGGGGGUUAGGGUUGUUUGUUGUUAGAAGGUUAGGGUUGUUUGUUGUUAGGGGUUUAGGGUUGUUUGUUGUUAGGAGGUUAGGGUUGUUUGUUAUUACGGGGUUAGGUUAGUUUCUUGUUAGCGGUUUAGUGUUUUUUGUUGUUAGGGGGUUAGCGUUUGUUGUUAGGGGUUUAGGGUUGUUUCUUGUUGGGGUAUAGUAGUUUUUGUUGUUAGGGUGUUAGUGUUGUUUGUGAUUAGGGGGUUAGUGUUGUUUGUUCUUACUGGGUUAGUGUUGUUUGUGGUUAGGGUGUUAGCGUUGUUUGUGGUUAGGGGGUGAGCGUUGUUGGUUGUUAGGGGGUUAGGAUUGUUUGUUGUUAGGGGUUUAGGGUUGUUUGUUGUUAGGGGGUUAAGGUUGUUUGUUGUUAGGAGGUUAGGGUUGUUUGUUGUUACAGGUUAAGGUUAGUUUCUUGUUAGGGGUUUAGUGUUGUUUGUUGUUAGGGGGUUAGUGUUUGUUGUUAGGGGUUUAGUGUUGUUUCUUGUUGGGGUUUAGUGUUUUUUGUUGUUAUGGUGUUAGUGUUGUUUGUUGUUAGGGGUUUAGCGUUCUUUGUUGUUAGGGGUUUAAGGUUGUUUGUUGUUAGGAGGUUAGGGUUGUUUGUUGUUACGGGGUUAGGUUAGUUUCUUGUUAAGGGUUUAGUGUUGUUUGUUGUUAGGGGGUUAGUGUUUGUUGUUAGGGGUUUAGGGUUGUUUCUUGUUGGGGUUUAGUAGUUUUUGUUGCUAGGGUGUUAGUGUUGUUUGUGGCUAGGGAGUUAGUGUUGUUGUUUGUUAGGGGGUUAGGGUUGUUUGUUGUUAGGGGUUUAGGGUUGUUUGUUGUUAGGGGUUUAAGGUUGUUGUUAGGAGGUUAGGGUUGUUUGUUGUUACGGGGUUAGGUUAGUUUCUUGUUAGGGGUUUAGUGUUGUUUGUUGUUAGGGGGUUAGUGUUUGUUGUUAGGGGUUUAGGGUUGUUUCUUGUUGGGGUUUAGUGGUUUUUGUUGUUAGGGUGUUAGUGUUGUUUGUUGUUAGGGGUUUAGUGUUGUUUGUUGUUAGGGGUUUAAGGUUGUUUGUUGUUAGGAGGUUAGGAUUGUUUGUUGUUACGGGUUUAGGUUAGUUUCUUGUUAGGGGUUUAGUGUUGUUUGUUGUUAGGGGGUUAGUGUUUGCUGUUAGGGGUUUAGGGUUGUUUCUUGUUGGAGUUUAGUAGUUUUUGUUGUUAGGGUGUUAGUGUUGUUUGUUGUUAGGGGGUUAGUGUUGUUUGUUGUUAGGGGUUUAGGGUUGUUUGUUGUUAGGGGGUUAAGGUUGUUUGUUGUUAGAAGGUUAGGGUUGUUUGUUGUUACAGGGUUAGGUUAGUUUCUUGUUAGGGGUUUAGUGUUGUUUGUUGUUAGGGGGUUAGUGUUUGUUGUUAGGGGUUUAGUGUUGUUUCUUCUUGGGGAUUAGUGUUUUUUGUUGUUAGGGUGUUAGUGUUUUUUGUUGUUAGGGGUUUAGGGUUGUUUGUUGUUAGGGGUUUAAGGUUGUUUGUUGUUAGGAGGUUAGGGUUGUUUGUUGUUACAGGGUUAGGUUAGUUUCUUGUUAGGGGUUUAGUGUUGUUUGUUGUUAGGGGGUUAGUGUUUGUUGUUAGGGGUUUAGGGUUGUUUCUUUUUGGAGUUUAGUAGUUUUUGUUGUUAGGGUGUUAGUGUUGUUUGUGGUUAGGUGGUUAGUGUUGUUUGUUCUUACGGGGUUAGUGUUGUUUGUGGUUAGGGUGUUAGUGUUGUUUGUGGUUAGGGGGUGAGAGUUGUUGGUUGUUAGGGGGUUAGGAUUGUUUGUUGUUAGGGGUUUAGGGUUGUUUGUUGUUAGGGGGUUAAGGUGGUUUGUUAUUAGGAGGUUAGGGCUGUUUGUUGUUAUAGGGUUAGGUUAGUUUCUUGUUAGGGGUUUAGUGUUGUUUGUUGUUAGGGGGUUAGUGUUUGUUGUUAGGGAUUUAGUGUUGUUUCUUGUUGGGGUUUAGUGGUUUUUGUUGUUAGGGUGUUAGUGUUGUUUGUUGUUAGGGGUUUAGGGUUGUUUGUUGUUAGGGGUUUAAGGUUGUUUGCUCUUAGGAGGUUAGGGUUGUUUGUUGUUACGGGGUUAGGUUAGUUUAUUGUUAGGGGUUUAGUGUUGUUUGUUGUUAGGGGGUUAGUGUUUGUUGUUAGUGGUUUAGGGUUGUUUCUUUUUUGGGUUUAGUAGUUUUUGUUGUUAGGGUGUUAGUGUUGUUUGUGGUUAGGGGGUUAGUGUUGUUGUUUGUUAGGGGGUUAGGGUUGUUUGUUGUUAGGAGGUUAGGGUUGUUUGUUUUUACAGGGUUAGGUUAGUUUCUUGUUAGGGGUUUAGUGUUGUUUGUUGUUAGGGGGUUAGUGUUUGCUGUUAGGGGUUUAGUGUUGUUUCCUGUUGGGGUUUAGUGGUUUUUGUUGUUAGGGUGUUAGUGUUGUUUGUUGUUAGGGGUUUAGGGUUGUUUGUUGUUAGGGGUUUAAGGUUGUUUGUUGUUAGGAGGUUAGGGUUGUUGGUUGUUAUAGGGUUAGGUUAGUUUCUUGUUAGGGGUUUAGUGUUGUUUGUUGUUAGGGGGUUAGUGUUUGUUGUUAGGGGUUUAGGGUUGUUUCUUGUUGGGGUUUAGUAGUUUUUGUUGUUAGGGUGUUAGUGUUGUUUGUUGUUAGGGGGUUAGUGUUGUUUGUUCUUACGGGGUUAGUGUUGUUUGUGGUUAGGGUGUUAGUGUUGUUUGUGGUUAGGGGGUGUGCGUUGUUGGUUGUUAGGGGGUUAGAAUGGUUUGUUGUUAGGGGUUUAGGGUUGUUUGUUGUUAGGGGGUUAAGGUUGUUGUUAGGAGGUUAGGGAUCUUUGUUGUUACAGGGUUAGGUUAGUUUCUUGUUAGGGGUUUAGUGUUGUUUGUUGUUAGGGGGUUAGUGUUUGUUGUUAGGGGUUUAGUGUUGUUUCUUCUUGGGGUUUAGUGGUUUUUGUUGUUAGGGUGUUAGUGUUGUUCGUUGUUAGGGGUUUAGGGUUGUUUGUUGUUAGGGGUUUAAGGUUGUUUGUUGUUAGGAGGUUAGGGUUGUUUGUUGUUACGGGGCUAGGUUAGUUUCUUCUUAGGGGUUUAGUGUUUUUUGUUGUUAGGGGGUUAGUGUUUGUUGUUAGGUGUUUAGGGCUGUUUCUUGUUGGGGUUUAGUAGUUUUUGUUCUUAGGGUGUUAGUGUUGUUUGUGGUUAGGGGGUUAGUGUUGUUGUUUGUUAGGGGGUUAAGGUUGUUUUUUGUUAGGAGGUUAAGGUUGUUUGUUGUUACAGGGUUAGGUUAGUUUCUUGUUAGGGGUUUAGUGUUGUUUGUUUUUAGGGGGUUAGUGAUUGUUGUUAGGGGUUUAGUGUUGUUUCUUGUUGGGGUUUAGUGGUUUUUGUUGUUAGGGUGUUAGUGUUGUUUGUUGUUAGGGGUUUUGGGUUGUUUGUUGUUAGGGGUUUAAGGUUGUUUGUUGUUAGGAGGUUAGGGUUGUUUGUUGUUACGGGGUUAGGUUAGUUUCUUGUUAGGGGUUUAGUGUUGUUUGCUGUAGGGGGUUAGUGUUUGUUGUUAGGGGUUUAGGAUUGUUUCUUGUUGGGGUUUAGUAGUUUUUGUUGUUAGGGUGUUAGUGUUGUUUGUGGUUAGGAGGUGUGCGUUGUUGGUUGUUGGGGGUUAGGAUUGUUUGUUGUUAGGGGUUUAGGAUUGUUUGUUGUUAGGGGUUUAGGGUUGUUUGUUGUUAGGGGGUUAAGGUGGUUUGUUGUUAGGAGGUUAGGGCUGUUUGUUGUUACAGGGUUAGGUUAGUUUCUUGUUAGGGGUUUAGUGUUGUUUGUUGUUAGGGGGUUAGUGUUUUUUGUUAGGGGUUUAGUGUUGUUUCUUGUUGGGGUUUAGUGCUUUUUGUUGUUAGGGUGUUAGUGUUGUUUGUUGUUAGGAGUUUAGGGUUGUUUGUUGUUAGGGGUUUAAGGUUGUUUGCUGUUAGCAGUUUAGGGUUGUUUGUUGUUACGGGGUUGGGUUAGUUUCUUGUUAGGGGUUUAGUGUUGCUUGUUGUUAGGGUGUUAGUGCUUGUUGUUAGGGGUUUAGGGUUGUUUCUUGUUGGGGUUUAGUAGUUUUUGUUGUUAGGGUGUUAGUGUUGUUUGUUGUUAGGGGUUUAGUGUUGUUUGUUCUUACGGGGUUAGUGUUGUUUGUGGUUAGGGUGUUAGUGUUGUUUGUGGUUAGGGGGUGAGCGUUGUUGGUUGUUAGAGGGUUAGGAUUGUUUGUUGUUAGGGGGUUAAGGUUGUUUGUUGUUAGGAGGUUAGGGUUGUUUUUUGUUACAGGGUUAGGUUAGUUUCUUGUUAGGGGUUUAGUGUUGUUUGUUGUUAGGGGGUUAGUGUUUGUUGUUAGGGGUUUAGUGUUGUUUCUUGUUGGGGUUUAGUGUUUUUUGUUGUUAGGGUGUUAGUGUUGUUUGUUGUUAGGGGUUUAGGGUUGUUUGUUGUUAGGGGUUUAAGGUUGUUUGUUGUUAGGAGGUUACGGUUGUUUGUUGUUACGGGGUUAGGUUAGUUUCUUGUUAGGGGUUUAGUGUUGUUUGUUGUUAGGGGGUUAGUGUUUGUUGUUAGGGGUUUAGGGUUGUUUCUUUUUGGGGUUUAGUAGUUUUUGUUGUUAGGGUGUUAGUGUUGUUUGUGGUUAGGGGGUUAGUGUUGUUUGUUCUUACGGGGUUAGUGUUGUUUGUGGUUAGGGUGUUAGUGUUGUUUGUGGUAAGGGGGUGAGAGUUGUUGGUUGUUAGGGGGUUAGGAUUGUUUGUUGUUAGGGGUUCAGGGUUGUUUGUUGUUAGGGGGUUAAGGUGGUUUGUUGUUAGGAGGUUAAGGCUGUUUGUUGUUACAGGGUUAGGUUAGUUUCUUGUAAGGGGUUUAGUGUUGUUUGUUGUUAGGGGGUUAGUGUUUGUUGUUAGGGGUUUAGUGUUGUUUCUUGUUGGGGUUUAGUGGUUUUUGUUGUUAGGGUGUUAGUGUUGUUUGUUGUUAGAGGUUUAGGGUUGUUUGUUGUUAGGGGUUUAAGGUUGUUUGUUGUUAGGAGGUUAGGGUUGUUUGUUGUUACGGGGUUAGGUUAGUUUCUUGUUAGGGGUUUAGUGUUGUUUGUUGUUAGGGGGUUAGUGUUUGUUGUUAGGGGUUUAGGGUUGUUUCUUGUUGGGGUUUAGUAGUUUUUGUUGUUAGGGUAUUAGCGUUGUUUGUGGUUAGGGGGUUAGUGUUGUUGUUUGUUAGGGGGUUAGGGUUGUUUGUUGUUAGGAGGUUAGGGUUGUUUGUUGUUACAGGGUUUGGUUAGUUUCUUGUUAGGGGUUUAGUGUUGUUUGUUUUUAGGGGGUUAGUGUUUGUUGUUAGGGGUUUAGUCUUGUUUCUUGUUGGGGUUUAGUGUUUUUUGUUGUUAGGGUGUUAGUGUUGUUUGUUGUUAGAGGUUUAGGGUUGUUUGUUGUUAGGGGUUUAAGGUUGUCUGUUGUUAGGAGGUUAGGGUUGUUUGUUGUUACGGGGUUAGGUUAGUUUCUUGUUAGGGGUUUAGUGUGGUUUGUUGCUAGGGGGUUAGUGUUUGUUGUUAGUUGUUUAGGGUUGUUUCUUUUUGGGGUUUAGUAGUUUUUGUUGUUAGGGUGUUAGUGUUGUUUGUGGAUAGGGUGUUAGUGUUGUUUGUGGUUAGGGGGUGAGAGUUGUUGGUUGUUAGGGGGUUAGGAUUGUUUGUUGUUAGGGGUUUAGGGUUGUUUGUUGUUACGGGGUUAAGGUGGUUCGUUGUUAGGACGUUAGGGUUGAUUAUUGUUACAGGGUUAGGUUAGUUUCUUGUUAGGGGUUUAGUGUUGUUUGUUGUUAGGGGGUUAGUGUUUGUUGUUAGGGGUUUAGUGUUGUUUCUUGUUGGGGUUUAGUGUUUUUUGUUGUUAGGGUGUUAGUGUUGUUUGUUGUUAGGGGUUUAGGGUUGUUUGUUGUUAGGGGGUUAGGGUUGUUUGUUGUUAGGAGUUUAGGGAGGUUUGUUGUUACAGGGUUAGGUUAGUUUCUUGUUAGACGUUUAGUGUUGUUUGUUGUUAGGGGGUUAGUGUUUGUUGUUACGGGUUUAGGGUUGUUUCUUGUUGGGGUUUAGUAGUUUUUGUUGUUAGGGUGUUAGUGUUGUUUGUGGAUAGGGGGUUAGUGUUGUUUUUUGUUAGGGGGUUAGGGUUGUUUGUUGUUAGGAGGUUACUGGUGUUUGUUUUUACAGGGUUAGGUUAGUUUCUUGUUAGGGGUUUAGUGUUGUUUGUUGUUAGUUGGUUAGUGUUUGUUGUUAUGGGUUUAGUGUUGUUUAUUGUUGGGGUUUAGUGGUUUUUAUUGUUAGGGUGUUAGUCUUGUUUCUUGUUAGGGGUUUAGGGUUGUUUGUUGUUAGGGGUUUAAGGUUGUUUGUUGUUAGGAGGUUAGGGUUGUUUGUUGUUACGGGGUUAGGUUAGUUUCUUGUUAGGGGUUUGGUGUUGUUUUUUGUUAGGGGGUUAGUGUUUGUUGUUAGGGGUUUAGUGUUGUUUCUUGUAGGGGUUUAGUGGUUUUUGUUGUAAGGGUGUUAGUGUUGUUUGUUGUUAGGGGUUUAGGGUUGUUUGUUGUUAGGGGUUUAAGGUUGCUUGUUGUUAGGAGGUUAGGGUUGUUUGUUGUUACGGGGUUAGGUUAGUUUCUUGUUAGGGGUUUAGUGUUGUUUGUUGUUAGGGGGUUAGUGUUUGUUGUUAGGGGUUUAGGGUUGUUUCUUGUUGGGGUUUAGUAGUUUUUGUUGUUAGGGUGUUAGUGUUGUUUGUUCUUAGAGGGUUAGUGUUGUUGUUUGUUAGGGGGUUAGGAUUGUUUGUUGUUAGGAGGUUAGUGUUCUUUGUUGUUACAGGGUUAGGUUAGUUUCUUGUUAGGGGUUUAGUGUUGUUUGUUGUUAGGGGGUUAGUGUUUGUUGUUAGGGGUUUAGUGUUGUUUCUUGUUGGGGUUUUGUGAUUUUUGUUGUUAGGGUGUUAGUUUUAUUUGCUGUUAGGGGUUUAGGGUUGUUUGUUUUUAGGGGUUUAAGGUUGUUUGUUGUUAGGAGGUUAGGGUUAUUUGUUGUUACGGGGUUAGGUUAGUUUCUUGUUAGGGGUUUAGUGUUGUUUGUUGUUAGGGGGUUAGUGUUUGUUGUUAGGGGUUUAGGGUUGUUUCUUGUUGGGGUUUAGUAGUUUUUGUUGUUAGGGUGUUAGUGUUGUUUGUUGUUAGGGGCUUAGUGUUGUUUGUUCUUACGGGGUUAGUGUUGUUUGUGGUUAGGGUGUUAGUGUUGUUUGUGGUUAGGGGGUGUGCGUUGUUGGUUGUUAGGGGGUUAGGAUUGUUUGUUGUUAGGGGUUUAGGGUUGUUUGUUGUUAGGGGGUUAAGGUUGUUUGUUGUUAGGAGGUUAGGGUUGUUUGUUGUUACAGGGUUAGGUUAGUUUCUAGUUAGGGGUUUAGUGUUGUUUGUCGUUAGGGUGUUAGUGUUUGUUGUUAAGGGUUUAGGGUUGUUUCUUGUUGGGGUUUAGUGGUUUUUGUUGUUAGGUGUUAGUGUUGUUUGUUGUUAGGGGUUUAAGGUUGUUUGUUGUUAGGAGGGUAGGGUUGUUUGUUGUUACGGGGUUAGGUUAGUUUCUUGUUAGGGGUUUAGUGUUGUUUGUUGUUAGGGGGUUAGUGUUUUUUGUUAGGGGUUUAGGGUUGCUUCUUUUUGGGGUUUAGUAGUUUUUGUUGUUAGGGUGUUAGUGUUGCUUGUUGUUAGGGGGUUAGUGUUGUUUGUUCUUACGGGGUUAGUGUUGUUUGUGGUUAGGGUGUUAGUGUUGUUUGUGGUUAGGGGGUGAGCGUUGUUGGUUGUUAGAGGGUUAGGAUUGUUUGUUGUUAGGGGGUUAAGGUUGUUUGUUGUUAGGAGGUUAGGGUUGUUUUUUGUUACAGGGUUAGGUUAGUUUCUUGUUAAGGGUUUAGUGUUGUUUGUUGUUAGGGGGUUAGUGUUUGUUGUUAGGGGUUUAGUGUUGUUUCUUGUUGGGGUUUAGUGGUUUUUGUUGUUAGGGUGUUAGUGUUGUUUGUUGUUAGGGGUUUAGGGUUGUUUGUUGUUAGGUUUUUAAGGUUGUUUGUUGUUAGGAGGUUAGGGUUGUUUGUUGUUACGGGGUUAGGUUAGUUUCUUGUUAGGGGUUUAGUGUUGUUUGUUGUUAGGGGGUUAGUGUUUGUUGUUAGGGGUUUAGUGUUGUUUCUUGUUGGGGUUUAGUGGUUUUUGUUGUUAGGGUGUUAGUGUUGUUUGUUGUUAGAGGUUUAGGGUUGUUUGUUGUUAGGGGUUUAAGGUUGUUUGUUGUUAGGAGGUUAGGGUUGUUUGUUGUUACGGGGUUAGGUUAGUUUCUUGUUAGGGGUUUAGUGUUGUUUGUUGUUAGGGGGUUAGUGUUUGUUGUUAGGGGUUUAGGGUUGUUUCUUGUUGGGGUUUAGUAGUUUUUGUUGUUAGGGUAUUAGUGUUGAUUGUGGUUAGGGGGUUAGUGUUGUUGUUUGUUAGGGGGUAGGUUUGUUUGUUGUUAGGAGGUUAGGGUUGUUUGUUGUUACAGGGUUAGGUUAGUUUCUUGUUAGGGGUUUAGUGUUGUUUGUUGUUAGGGGGUUAGUGUUUGUUGUUAGGGGUUUAGUCUUGUUUCUUGUUGGGGUUUAGUGUUUUUUGUUGUUGCGGUGUUAGUGUUGUUUGUUGUUAGAGGUUUAGGGUUGUUUGUUGUUAGGGGUUUAAGGUUGUUUGUUGUUAGGAGGUUAGGGUUGUUUGUUGUUACGGGGUUAGGUUAGUUUCCUGUUAGGGGUUUAGUGUGGUUUGUUGCUAGGGGGUUAGUGUUUGUUGUUAGGGGUUUAGGGUUGUUUCUUUUUGGGGUUUAGUAGUUUUUGUUGUUAGGGUGUUAGUGUUGUUUGUUGUUAGGGUGUUAGUGUUGUUUGUGGUUAGGGGGUGAGAGUUGUUGGUUGUUAGGGGGUUAGGAUUGUUUGUUGUUAGGGGUUUAGGGUUGUUUGUUGUUAGGGGGUUAAGGUGUUUUGUUGUUAGUAGGUUAGGGUUGUUUGUUGUUACAGGGUUAGGUUAGUUUCUUGUUAGGGGUUUAGUGUUGUUUGUUGUUAGGGGGUUAGUGUUUGUUGUUAGGGGUUUAGUGUUGUUUCUUGUUGGGGUUUAGUGGUUUUUGUUGUUAGGGUCUUAGUGUUGUUUGUUGUUAGGGGUUUAGGGUUGUUUGUUGUUAGGGGUUUAAGGUUGUUUGUUGUUAGGAGGUUAGGGUUGUUUGUUGUUACGGGGUUAGGUUAGUUUCUUGUUAGGGGUUUAGUGUUGUUUGUUGUUAGGGGGUUAGUGUUUGUUGUUAGGGCUUUAGUGUUGUUUCUUGUUGGGGUUUAGUGGUUUUUGUUGUUAGGGUGUUAGUGUUGUUUGUGGUUAGGGGGUUAGUGUUGUUGUUUGUAAGGCGCUUAGGGUUGUUUGUUGUUAGGAGGUUAGGGCUGUUUGUUUUUACAGGGUUAGGUUAGUUUCUUGUUAGGGGUUUAGUGUUGUUUGUUGUUAGGGUGUUAGUGUUUGUUGUUAGGGGUUUAGUGUUGUUUCUUGUUGGGGUUUAGUGGUUUUUGUUGUUAGGGUGUUAGUGUUGUUUGUUGUUAGGGGUUUAGGGUUGUUUGUUGUUAGGGGUUUAAGGUUGUUUGCUGUUAGGAGGUUAGGGUUGUUUGUUGUUACGGGGUUAGGUUAGUUUCUUGUUAGGGGUUUAGUGUUGCUUGUUGUUAGGGGGUUAGUGUUUGUUGUUAGGGGUUUAGGGUUGUUUCUUGUUGGGGUUUAGUAGUUUUUGUUGUUAGGGUGUUAGUGUUGUUUGUUGUUAGGGGGUUAGUGUUGUUUGUUCUUACGGGGUUAGUGUUCUUUGUGGUUAGGGUGUUAGCGUUGUUUGUGGUUAGGGGGUGAGCGUUGUUGGUUGUUAGAGGGUUAGGAUUGUUUGUUGUUAGGGGGUUAAGGUUGUUUGUUGUUAGGAGGUUAGGGUUGUUUUUUGUUACAGGGUCAGGUUAGUUUCUUGUUAAGGGUUUAGUGUUGUUUGUUGUUAUGGCGUUAGUGUUUGUUGUUAGGGGUUUAGUGUUGUUUCUUGUUGGGGUUUAGUGUUUUUUGUUGUUAAGGUGUUAGUGUUGUUUGUUGUUAGGGGUUUAGUGUUGUUUGUUGUUAGGGGUUUAAGGUUGUUUGCUGUUAGCAGGUUAGGGUUGUUUGUUGUUACGGGGUUGGGUUAGUUUCUUGUUAGGGGUUUAGUGUUGCUUGUUGUUAGGGGGUUAGUGCUUGUUGUUAGGGGUUUAGGGUUGUUUCUUGUUGGGGUUUAGUAGUUUUUGUUGUUAGGGUGUUAGUGUUGUUUGUGGUUAGGGGGUUAGUGUUGUUUGUUCUUACGGGGUUAGUGUUGUUUGUGGUUAGGGUGUUAGUGUUGUUUGUGGUUAGGGGGUGAGAGUUCUUGGUUGUUAGGGGGUUAGGAUUGUUUGUUGUUAGGGGUUUAGGGUUGUUUGUUGUUAGGGGGUUAAGGUGGUUUGUUGUUAGGAGGUUAGGGCUGUUUGUUGUUACAGGGUUAGGUUAGUUUCUUGUUAGGGGUUUAGUGUUGUUUGUUGUUAGGGGGUUAGUGUUUGUUGUUAGGGGUUUAGUGUUGUUUCUUGUUGGGGAUUAGUGGUUUUUGUUGUUAGGGUGUUAGUGUUGUUUGUUGUUAGGGGUUUAGGGUUGUUUGUUGUUAGGGGUUUAAGGUUGUUUGUCGUUAGGAGGUUAGGGUUGUUUGUUGUUAUGGGGUUAGGUUAGUUUCUUGUUAGGGGUUUAGUGUUGUUUGUUGUUAGGGGGUUAGUGUUUGUUGUUAGGGGUUUAGGGUUGUUUCUUGUUGGGAUUUAGUAGUUUUUGUUGUUAGGGUAUUAGUGUUGUUUGUGGUUAGGGGGUUAGUGUUGUUGUUUGCUAGGUAGUUAGGGUUGUUUGUUGUUAGGAUUUUAGGGUUGUUUGUUGUUACAGGGUUAGGUUAGUUUCUUGUUAGGGGUUUAGUGUUGUUUGUUGUUAGGGGGUUAGUGUUUGUUUUUAGGGGCUUAGUCUUGUUUCUUGUUGGGGUUUAGUGUUUUUUGUUGUUAGGGUGUUAGUGUUGUUUGUUGUUAGAGGUUUAGUGUUGUUUGUUGUUAGGGGUUUGAGGUUGUUUGUUGUUAGGAGGUUAGGGUUGUUUGUUGUUACGGGGUUAGGUUAGUUUCUUGUUAGGGGUUUAGUGUAGUUUGUUGCUAGGGGGUUAGUGUUUGUUGUUAGGGGUUUAGGGUUGUUUCUUUUUGGGGUUUAGUAGUUUUUGUUGUUAGGGUGUUAGUGUUGUUUGUGGUUAGGGUGUUAGUGUUGUUUGUGGUUAGGGGGUGAGAGUUGUUGGUUGUUAGGGGGUUAGGAUUGUUUGUUGUUAGGGGUUUAGGGUUGUUUGUUGUUAGGGGGUUAAGGUGUUUUGUUGUUAGGAGGUUAGGGUUGUUUGUUGUUACAGGGUUAGGUUAGUUUCUUGUUAGGGGUUUAGUGUUGUUUGUUGUUAGGGGGUUAGUGUUUGUUGUUAGGGGUUUAGUGUUGUUUCUUGUUGGGGUUUAGUGGUUUUUGUUGUUAGGGUCUUAGUGUUGUUUGUUGUUAGGGGUUUAGGGUUGUUUGUUGUUAGGGGUUUAAGGUUGUUUGUUGUUAGGAGGUUAGGGUUGUUUGUUGUUACGGGGUUAGGUUAGUUUCUUGUUAGGGGUUUAGUGUUGUUUGUUGUUAGGGGGUUAGUGUUUGUUGUUAGGGGUUUAGGGUUGUUUCUUGUUGGGGUUUAGUGGUUUUUGUUGUUAGGGUGUUAGUGUUGUUUGUUGUUAGGGGUUUAGGGUUGUUUGUUGUUAGGGGUUUAAGGUUGUUUGCUGUUAGGAGGUUAGGGUUGUUUGUUGUUACGGGGUUAGUUUAGUUUCUUGUUAGGGGUUUAGUGUUGUUUGUUGUUAGGGGGUUAGUGUUUGUUGUUAGGGGUUUAGGGCUGUUUCUUGUUGGCGUUUAGUAGUUUUUGUUGUUAGGGUGUUAGUGUUGUUUGUGGUUAGGGGGUUAGUGUUGUUGUUUGUUAGGGGCUUAGGGUUGUUUGUUGUUAGGAGGUUAGGGUUGUUUGUUUUUACAGGGUUAGGUUAGUUUCUUGUUAGGGGUUUAGUGUUGUUUGUUGUUAGGGGGUUAGUGUUUGUUGUUAGGGGUUUAGUGUUGUUUCUUGUUGGGGUUUAGUGGUUUUUGUUGUUAGGGUGUUAGUGUUGUUUGUUGUUAGGGGUUUAGGGUUGUUUGUUGUUAGGGGUUUAAGGUUGUUUGCUGUUAGGAGGUUAGGGUUGUUUGUUGUUACGGGGUUAGGUUAGUUUCUUGUUAGGGGUUUAGUGUUGCUUGUUGUUAGGGGGUUAGUGUUUGUUGUUAGGGGUUUAGGGUUGUUUCUUGUUGGGGUUUAGUGGUUUUUGUUGUUAGGGUGUUAGUGUUGUUUGUUGUUAGGGGGUUAGUGUUGUUUGUUCUUACGGGGUUAGUGUUCUUUAUGGUUAGGGUGUUAGUGUUGUUUGUGGUUAGGGGGUGAGCGUUGUUGGUUGUUAGAGGGUUAGGAUUGUUUGUUGUUAGGGGGUUAAGGUUGUUUGUUGUUAGGAGGUUAGGGUUGUUUUUUGUUACAGGGUUAGGUUAGUUUCUUGUUAAGGGUUUAGUGUUGUUUGUGGUUAUGGGGUUAGUGUUUGUUGUUAGGGGUUUAGUGUUGUUUCUUGUUGGGGUUUAGUGUUUUUUGUUGUUAGGGUGUUAGUGUUGUUUGUUGUUAGGGGGUUAGUGUUGUUUGUUGUUAGGGGUUUAAGGUUGUUUGUUGUUAGGAGGUUAGGGUUGUUUGUUGUUACGGAGUUAUGUUAGUUUCUUGUUAGGGGUUUAGUGUUGUUUGUUGUUAGGGGGUUAGUGUUUGUUGUUAGGGGUUUAGGGUUUUUUCUUGUUGGGGUUUAGUAGUUUCUGUUGUUAGGGUGUUAGUGUUGUUUGUUGUUAGGGGGUUAGUGUUGUUUGUUCUUACGGGGUUUGUGUUGUUUGUGGUUCGGGUGUUAGUGUUGUUUGUGGUUAGAGGAUGAGCGUUAUUGGUUGUUAGGGGGUUAGGAUUGUUUGUUGUUAGGGGUUUAGGGUUGUUUGUUGUUAGGGGGUUAAGGUUGUUUGUUGUUAGGAGUUUAGGGUUGAUUGUUGUUACAGGGUUUGGUUAGUUUCUUGUUAGGGGUUUAGUGUUGUUUGUUGUUAGGGGGUUAGUGUUUGUUGUUAGGGGUUUAGUGUUGUUUCUUGUUGGGGUUUAGUGGUUUUUGUUGUUAGGGUGUUAGUGUUGUUUGUUGAUAGGGGUUUAGGGUUGUUUGUUGUUAGUGGUUUAAGGUUGUUUGUUGUUAGGAGGUUAGGGUUGUUUGUUGUUACGGGGUUAGGUUAGUUUCUUGUUAGGGGUUUAGUGUUGUUUGUUGUUAGGGGGUUAGUGUUUGUUGUUAGGGGUUUAGGGAUGUUUCUUGUUGGGGUUUUGUAGUUUUUGUUGUUAGGGUGUUAGUGUUGUUUGUUGUUAGGGGGUUAGUGUUGUUUGUUCUUCCGGGGUUAGUGUUGUUUGUGGUUAGGGUGUUAGUGUUGUUUGUGGUUAGGGGGUGUGCGUUGUUCGUUGUUAGGGGGUUAGGAUUGUUUGUUGUUAGGGGUUUAGGGUUGUUUGUUGUUAGGGGGUUAAGGUUGUUUGUUGUUAGGAGGUUAGGGUUGUUUGUUGUUACAGGGUUAGGUUAGUUUCUUGUUAGGGGUUUAGUGUUGUUUGUUGUUAGGGGGUUAGUGUUUGUUGUGAGGGGUUUAGUGUUGUUUCUUGUUGGGGUUUAGUGCUUUUUGUUGUUAGCGUGUUAGUGUUCUUUGUUGUUAGGGGUUUAGGGUUGUUUGUUGUUAGGGGUUUAAGGUUGUUUGUUGUUAGGAGGUUAGGGUUGUUUGUUGUUACAGGGUUAGGUUAGUUUCUUGUUAGGGGUUUAGUGUUGUUUGUUGUUAGGGGGUUAGUGUUUGUUGUGAGGGGUUUAGUGUUGUUUCUUGUUGGGGUUUAGUGGUUUUUGUUGUUAGGGUGUUAGUGUUGUUUGUGGUUAGGGGGUUAGUGUUGUUGUUUGUUAGGGGGUUAGGGUUGUUUGUUGUUAGAAGGUUAGGGUUGUUUGUUGUUAGGGGUUUAGGGUUGUUUGUUGUUAGGAGGUUAGGGUUGUUUGUUGUUACGGAGUUAUGUUAGUUUCUUGUUAGGGGUUUAGUGUUGUUUGUUGUUAGGGGGUUAGUGUUUGUUGUUAGGGGUUUAGGGUUGUUUCUUGUUGGGGUUUAGUAGUUUCUGUUGUUAGGGUGUUAGUGUUUUUUGUUGUUAGGGGGUUAGUGUUGUUUGUUCUUACGGGGUUUGUGUUGUUUAUGGUUAGGGUUUUAGUGUUGUUUGUGGUUAGAGGAUGAGCGUUAUUGGUUGUUAGGGGGUUAGGAUUGUUUGUUGUUAGGGGUUUAGGGUUGUUUGUUGUUAGGGGGUUAAGGUUGUUUGUUGUUAGGAGGUUAGGGUUGAUUGUUGUUACAGGGUUAGGUUAGUUUCUUGUUAGGGGUUUAGUGUUGUUUGUUGUUAGGGGGUUAGUGUUUGUUGUUAGGGGUUUAGUGUUGUUUCUUGUUGGGGUUUAGUGGUUUUUGUUGUUAGGGUGUUAGUGUUGUUUGUUGAUAGGGGUUUAGGGUUGUUUGUUGUUAGGGGUUUAAGGUUGUUUGUUGUUAGGAGGUUAGGGUUGUUUGUUGUUACGGGGUUAGGUUAGUUUCUUGUUAGGGGUUUAGUGUUGUUUGUUGUUAGGGGGUUAGUGUUUGUUGUUAGGGGUUUAGGGAUGUUUCUUGUUGGGGUUUAGUAGUUUUUGUUGUUAGGGUGUUAGUGUUGUUUGUUGUUAGGGGGUUAGUGUUGUUUGUUCUUCCGGGGUUAGUGUUGUUUGUGGUUAGGGUGUUAGUGUUGUUUGUGGUUAGGGGGUGUGCGUUGUUGGUUGUUAGGGGGUUAGGAUUGUUUGUUGUUAGGGGUUUAGGGUUGUUUGUUGUUAGGGGGUUAAGGUUGUUUGUUGUUAGGAGGUUAGGGUUGGUUGUUGUUACAGAGUUAGGUUAGUUUCUUGUUAGGGGUUUAGUGUUGUUUGUUGUUAGGGGGUUAGUGUUUGUUGUUAGGGGUUUAGUGUUGUUUCUUGUUGGGGUUCAGUGUUUUUUGUUGUCAGGGUGUUAGUGUUGUUUGUUGUUAGGGGUUUAGGGUUGUUUGUUGUUAGGGGUUUAAGGUUGUUUGUUGUUAGGAGGUUAGGGUUGUUUGUUGUUACGGGGUUAGGUUAGUUUCUUCUUAGGGGUUUAGUGUUGUUUGUUGUUAGGGGGUUAGUGUUUGUUGUUAGGGGUGUAGGGUUGUUUCUUGUUGGGGUUUAGUAGUUUUUGUUGUUAGGGUGUUAGUUUUGUUUGUUGUUAGGGCGUUAGUGUAGUUUGUUCUUACGGGGUUAGUGUUGUUUGUGGUUAGGGUGUUAGUGUUGUUUGUGGUUAGGGGGUGUGCGUUGUUGGUUGUUAGGGGGUUAGGAUUGUUUGUUGUUAGGGGUUUAUGGUUGUUUGUUGUUAGUCGGUUAAGGAUGUUUGUUGUUAGGAUGUUAGGGUUGUUUGUUGUUACAUUGUUAGGUUAGUUUCUUGUUAGGGGUUUAGUGUUGUUUGUUGUUAGCGGGUUAGUGUUUGUUGUUACGGGUUUAGUGUUGUUUCUUGUUGGGGUUUAGUGGUUUUUAUUGUUAGGGUGUUAGUGUUGUUUGUUGUUAGGUGUUUAGGGUUGUUUGUUGUUAGGGGGUUAGUGUUUGUUGUUAGGGGUUUAAGGUUGUUUCUUGUUGGAGUUUAGUAGUUUUUCUUGUUAGGGUGUUAGUGUUGUUUGUGGUUAGGGGGUUAGUGUUGUUGUUUGUUAGGGGGUUAGGGUUGUUUGUUGUUGGGGUUUAGUGGUUUUUGUUGUUAGGGUGUUAGUGUUGUUUGUUGUUAGGGGUUUAGGGUUUUUUGUUGUUAGGGGUUUAAGGUUGUUUGUUGUUAGGAGGUUAGGGUUGUUUGUUGUUACGGGGUUAGGUUAGUUUCUUGUUAGGGGUUUAGUGUUGUUUGUUGUUGGGGGUUAGUGUUUGUUGUUAGGGCUUUAGGGUUGUUUCUUGUUGUUUUUUAGUAGUUUUUGUUGUUAGGGUGUUAGUGUUGUUUGUGGUUAGGGGGUUAGUGUUGUUGUUUGUUAGGGGGUUAGGGUUGUUUGUUGUUAGAAGGUUAGGGUUGUUUGUUGUUAGGGGUUUAGGGUUGUUUGUUGUUAGGAGGUUAGGGUUGUUUGUUGUUACGGAGUUAUGUUAGUUUGUUGUUAGGGGUUUAGUGUUGUUUGUUGUUAGGGGGUUAGUGUUUGUUGUUAGGGGUUUAGGGUUUUUUCUUGUUGGGGUUUAGUAGUUUCUGUUGUUAGGGUGUUAGUGUUGUUUGUUGUUAGGGGGUUAGUGUUGUUUGUUCUUACGGGGUUUGUGUUGUUUGUGGUUAGGGUGUUAGUGUUGUUUGUGGUUAGAGGAUGAGCGUUAUUGGUUGUUAGGGGGUUAGGAUUGUUUGUUGUUAGGGGUUUAGGGUUGUUUGUUGUUAGGGGGUUAAGGUUGUUUGUUGUUAGGAGGUUAGGGUUGAUUGUUGUUACAGGGUUAGGUUAGUUUCUUGUUAGGGGUUUAGUGUUGUUUGUUGUUAGGGGGUUAGUGUUUGUUGUUAGGGGUUUAGUGUUGUUUCUUGUUGGGGUUUAGUGUUUUUUGUUGUUAGGGUGUUAGUGUUGUUUGUUGUUAGGGGUUUAGGGUUGUUUGUUGUUAGGGGUUUAAGGUUGUUUGUUGUUAGGAGGUUAGGGUUGUUUGUUGUUACGGGGUUAGGUUAGUUUCUUGUUAGGGGUUUAGUGUUGUUUGUUGUUAGGGGGUUAGUGUUUGUUGUUAGGGGUUUAGGGAUGUUUCUUGUUGGGGUUUAGUAGUUUUUGUUGUUAGGGUGUUAGUGUUGUUUGUUGUUAGGGGGUUAGUGUUGUUUGUUCUUCCGGGGUUAGUGUUGUUUGUGGUUAGGGUGUUAGUGUUGUUUGUGGUUAGGGGGUGUGCGUUGUUCGUUGUUAGGGGGUUAGGAUUGUUUGUUGUUAGGGGUUUAGGGUUGUUUGUUGUUAGGGGGUUAAGGUUGUUUGUUGUUAGGAGGUUAGAGUUGGUUGUUGUUACAGAGUUAGGUUAGUUUCUUGUUAGGGGUUUAGUGUUGUUUGUUGUUAGGAGGUUAGUGUUUGUUGUUAGGGGUUUAGUGUUGUUUCUUGUUGGGGUUUAGUGGUUUUUGUUGUUAGGGUGUUAGUGUUGUUUGUGGUUAGGGGGUUAGUGUUGUUGUUUGUUAGGGGGUUAGGGUUGUUUGUUGUUAGAAGGUUAGGGUUGUUUGUUGUUAGGGGUUUAGGGUUGUUUGUUGUUAGGAGGUUAGGGUUGUUUGUUGUUACGGAGUUAUGUUAGUUUGUUGUUAGGGGUUUAGUGUUGUUUGUUGUUAGGGGGUUAGUGUUUGUUGUUAGGGGUUUAGGGUUUUUUCUUGUUGGGGUUUAGUAGUUUCUGUUGUUAGGGUGUUAGUGUUGUUUGUUGUUAGGGGGUUAGUGUUGUUUGUUCUUCCGGGGUUAGUGUUGUUUGUGGUUAGGGUGUUAGUGUUGUUUGUGGUUAGAGGAUGAGCGUUAUUGGUUGUUAGGGGGUUAGGAUUGUUUGUUGUUAGGGGUUUAGGGUUGUUUGUUGUUAGGGGGUUAAGGUUGUUUGUUGUUAGGAGGUUAGGGUUGAUUGUUGUUACAGGGUUAGGUUAGUUUCUUGUUAGGGGUUUAGUGUUGUUUGUUGUUAGGGGGUUAGUGUUUGUUGUUAGGGGUUUAGUGUUGUUUCUUGUUGGGGUUUAGUGGUUUUUGUUGUUAGGGUGUUAGUGUUGUUUGUUGAUAGGGGUUUAGGGUUGUUUGUUGUUAGGGGUUUAAGGUUGUUUGUUGUUAGGAGGUUAGGGUUGUUUGUUGUUACGGGGUUAGGUUAGUUUCUUGUUAGGGGUUUAGUGUUGUUUGUUGUUAGGGGGUUAGUGUUUGUUGUUAGGGGUUUAGGGAUGUUUCUUGUUGGGGUUUAGUAGUUUUUGUUGUUAGGGUGUUAGUGUUGUUUGUUGUUAGGGGGUUAGUGUUGUUUGUUCUUCCGGGGUUAGUGUUGUUUGUGGUUAGGGUGUUAGUGUUGUUUGUGGUUAGGGGGUGUGCGUUGUUGGUUGUUAGGGGGUUAGGAUUGUUUGUUGUUAGGGGUUUAGGGUUGUUUGUUGUUAGGGGGUUAAGGUUGUUUGUUGUUAGGAGGUUAGGGUUGGUUGUUGUUACAGAGUUAGGUUAGUUUCUUGUUAGGGGUUUAGUGUUGUUUGUUGUUAGGAGGUUAGUGUUUGUUGUUAGGGGUUUAGAGUUGUUUCUUGUUGGGGUUUAGUGGUUUUUGUUGUUAGAGUGUUAGUGUUGUUUCCUGUUAGAUGUUUAGGGUUGUUUGUUGUUAGGGGUUUAAGGUUGUUUGUUGUUAGGGGGUUAGGGUUGUUUGUUGUUACGGGGUUAGGUUCGUUUCUUGUUAGGGGUUUAGUGUUGUUUGUUGUUAGGGGUUAGUGUUUGUUGUUAGGGGUUUAGGGUUGUUUCUUGUUCUGGUUUAGUAGUUUUUGUUGUUAGGGUGUUAGUGUUGUUUGUGGUUAGGGGGUUAGUGUUGUUGUUUGAUAGGGGGUUAGAUUUGUUUGUUGUUGGGGUUUAGUGGUUUUUGUUGUUAGGGUGUUAGUGUUGUUUGUUGUUAGGGGUUUAGGGUUUUUUGUUGUUAGGGGUUUAAGGUUGUUUGUUGUUAGGAGGUUAGGGUUGUUUGUUGUUACGGGGUUAGGUUAGUUUCUUGUUAGGGGUUUAGUGUUGUUUGUUGUUGGGGGUUAGUGUUUGUUGUUAGGGCUUUAGGGUUGUUUCUUGUUGUUUUUUAGUAGUUUUUGUUGUUAAGGUGUUAGUGUUGUUUGUGGUUAGGGGGUUAGUGUUGUUGUUUGUUAGGGGGUUAGGGUUGUUUGUUGUUAGAAGGUUAGGGUUGUUUGUUGUUAGGGGUUUAGGUUUGUUUGUUGUUAGGAGGUUAGGGUUGUUUGUUGUUACGGAGUUAUGUUAGUUUGUUGUUAGGGGUUUAGUGUUGUUUGUUGUUAGGGGGUUAGUGUUUGUUGUUAGGGGUUUAGGGUUUUUUCUUGUUGGGGUUUAGUAGUUUCUGUUGUUAGGGUGUUAGUGUUGUUUGUUGUUAGGGGGUUAGUGUUGUUUGUUCUUACGGGGUUUGUGUUGUUUGUGGUUAGGGUGUUAGUGUUGUUUGUGGUUAGAGGAUGAGCGUUAUUGGUUGUUAGGGGGUUAGGAUUGUUUGUUGUUAGGGGUUUAGGGUUGUUUGUUGUUAGGGGGUUAAGGUUGUUUGUUGUUAGGAGGUUAGGGUUGAUUGUUGUUACAGGGUUAGGUUAGUUUCUUGUUAGGGGUUUAGUGUUGUUUGUUGUUAGGGGGUUAGUGUUUGUUGUUAGGGGUUUAGUGUUGUUUCUUGUUGGGGUUUAGUGGUUUUUGUUGUUAGGGUGUUAGUGUUGUUUGUUGAUAGGGGUUUAGGGUUGUUUGUUGUUAGGGGUUUAAGGUUGUUUGUUGUUAGGAGGUUAGGGUUGUUUGUUGUUACGGGGUUAGGUUAGUUUCUUGUUAGGGGUUUAGUGUUGUUUGUUGUUAGGGGGUUAGUGUUUGUUGUUAGGGGUUUAGGGAUGUUUCUUGUUGGGGUUUAGUAGUUUUUGUUGUUAGGGUGUUAGUGUUGUUUGUUGUUAGGGGGUUAGUGUUGUUUGUUCUUCCGGGGUUAGUGUUGUUUGUGGUUAGGGUGUUAGUGUUGUUUGUGGUUAGGGGGUGUGCGUUGUUGGUUGUUAGGGGGUUAGGAUUGUUUGUUGUUAGGGGUUUAGGGU